rnacentral:rRNA from 1 species
AGCGAACGCUGGCGGCAGGCUUAACACAUGCAAGUCGGGCGGGCACUUUCGGGUGUCAGCGGCGGACGGGUGCGUAACGCGUGGGAACGUGCCCUCUGGUUCGGAAUAACUCAGGGAAACUUGAGCUAAUACCGGAUACGCCCUUUUGGGGAAAGGCUUGCUGCCGGAGGAUCGGCCCGCGUCUGAUUAGCUAGUUGGUGAGGUAACGGCUCACCAAGGCGACGAUCAGUAGCUGGUCUGAGAGGAUGAUCAGCCACACUGGGACUGAGACACGGCCCAGACUCCUACGGGAGGCAGCAGUGGGGAAUAUUGGACAAUGGGCGCAAGCCUGAUCCAGCCAUGCCGCGUGAGUGAUGAAGGCCUUAGGGUUGUAAAGCUCUUUUAUCCGGGACGAUAAUGACGGUACCGGAGGAAUAAGCCCCGGCUAACUUCGUG